rnacentral:rRNA from 1 species
UACGAAGGGGGCUAGCGUUGUUCGGAAUUACUGGGCGUAAAGCGCGCGCAGGCGGUCUUCCAAGUCAGUGGUGAAAGCCUGGAGCUCAACUCCAGAACUGCCAUUGAAACUGUUAGACUUGAGUACGAGAGAGGUGAGUGGAAUUCCCAGUGUAGAGGUGAAAUUCGUAGAUAUUGGGAAGAACACCGGUGGCGAAGGCGGCUCACUGGCUCGUGACUGACGCUCAGGCGCGACAGCGUGGGGAUCAAACAGG